rnacentral:lncRNA from 1 species
CAGGCUAAGAAUGUAACAAAAACAGAGAGAGGGGAGAAAAAGGGGGGGGGAUUUUUCUUUUUGAUGUAAAUCAUGUAUUUCAGUUGUCUUAAUUGAAAUUGAAAGUAAAGUUAAGUUAAGUUACAUUUAAGUUAAGUUACAUUUAAUAUAGGAAUUAAUUUUUUCAUCCUCCGGCAGUGAGGUUUGAACCCGCGAUCAUCCGGGUGUUAGACUGUGCAUCUUUCCACUGAGCCACAG